rnacentral:lncRNA from 1 species
UUGGUCUAGAUGGCAAGGGGCGCUGACUGUGAACUAGAGGUCCCGGGUUCGAUCCCCGGCAACCCCCAAAGUCGCUUCAAGUUUUUAUGAAGUCGCUGAUGCGAGGCUGCUGCUGCGAGGACGAGCCGAUGCGAAGCGAUGCGAGCCGAUGCUAUGCGAAGCGGAGACCUGUUGCGAGAUGCGACACCGUAAACGCUGCUUACCGUAAACGCGAGCAGUAAACUCCGAGGCCUCGGACCGUAAACCUCGGGCCGUGAACUCCGAAACCCUAGCCGUCGGCCGCCACCCCUGCGCUGUUUACGAC